UUUAUUCACUUUUUUUAUUUUUAUUUAUUAACAUCUUAGACAAUAAUCCGAAACCCGUCCCAACUACGUGUGAAAAAGUAAACGGUGGCUUUAGUGAAUGGUCUUCGUAUACUAAAUGUUCGUUGACUUGUGGUGGUGGUAAAAGAGAACGCUUUCGUACUUGCACAAACCCUGCUCCUGCUUGUAAUGGAAAACCUUGUUACGAUGCUACAUCAGAAACACAAUCAUGUAAUUUGCAGAGAUGCCCAGGUUUAUUGUUAAUUUGAUAUUAUUAUUAUUAUGAAGAUGGUAACGGUAAUGGUGAUGAUGAUGGUGAUGAUGAUGAUGAUGAUGAUGAUGAUGAUGAUGAUGAUGAUGAUGAUGAUGAUCAUAUGGAUGUUCGGUAGAGCAACGCAAGUGUUCUGUAUUGCAACUCAUUUGUUCGGUAAAGCAACGUGACGCGGCCUAUGUUCGUUUUUGCAACCAUUUUGUUCGUUAUCGCAACUUGUUGUUCGUUAUUGCAACCCCGGGAGCGCAUGUUAAGCUUUAUAAACUUUUUGUUUUUUAAAACACUUACUUGAUCGUAAGCCGGUACAGAAAAUUGUCUGACCUCCAUCGAAAAUAUUUGUAUUGUUUUUACAGCAAAUAAGUAAUGUCAAUCAUAUAUAUUUAAAACUAGAACUAAAAUCGCUUUUAGGUGAAAUGUAUGAAAACAAGGAUUAAAAUUUAUCACAAGCUAUUUUUUUCUUUACUAUAUAUAUAUAUAUUUAUAUACUUUUUUUUUUCAAGACAAGUUGCACUCCUAAAAUGUCGUGUGUUCUUUGCAACAAAUUUUUUGUUGUAGAUGGAUGUAAUUUUUGCAACCAAUGUUUAAGUAGUACUAGUGAUAUUGAAGAUUUAGAUAUAUUUGUCAUAACAGCAUUGAAUCUGUUUACAAAAAGUAGCAUGAUGGAAAUUGCAUCUUCUCAGUUGCUUAAAUCAAUUUAUUCUGGUCAAUUAUACAGUUACAGACAUAACUGGUUUAAAGCGGGUGGAGAAGAUAAAAGAUGUCUUCGUAAUGCAGAUCUUCUUAGCCUAUUAUCAGAGGAUCAAUCAAAUGAGCUUUUUAAAGCUCUUGUUUUAGCAUUUAAUAGUUUAAAAGAUAGCGACUAUGUAUUUAAGGUGCUAGUCCCAGAAUCAAUAGUAUUUUUAUUUGCCAAAUUUAGUAAUGUUUCGAGAAUAAAGGCUGAAGUAGCUCUGAAUGCCUACAUUUCUGAAAAAAAUAAUAAACUGUUCUGUAGCUCUCUAAAAUCAACUAGUGAGAUCGAAAAUUAUUGAAGAGAUUGGAAAAUCAAAAAACUUACCAUCUAUAAAUGCUGAGUUUUUAAAUAAAGAAUGGACCAAAAUCACUGCUGACUCUCCUGAUUAUUUAUCAAAUACAAUUAUUGAAGAUAAUGGUAACUCAAAAAACUUACCAUCUAUAAAUGCUGAGUUUUUAAAUAAAGAAUGGACCAAAAUCACUGCUGACUCUCCUGAUUAUUUAUCAAAU
rnacentral:misc_RNA from 1 species